rnacentral:misc_RNA from 1 species
CGCACAUUGCGCCCUUUGGCAUUCCGAAGGGCAUGCCCGUUCGAGCGUCAUUAAAUCCACUCAAGCCUGGCUUGGUGUUGGGCGCCGGGAGACCUCCCGCGCCCCCAUUUCGCCGGCUGGCCGUCGUUUGACUUAGCGUUGUGACACAUGUCGCUGACGACGACGACGGACGCGCCGUAAAACCCCCUUGGACGUCCCCGGACAUCCAGUAAAGGUUGACCUCGGAUCGGGUAGGAAUACCCGCUGAACUUAA